rnacentral:rRNA from 1 species
UACGUAGGGUGCAAGCGUUAAUCGGAAUUACUGGGCGUAAAGCGUGCGCAGGCGGUUUGUAAGUCUGUCGUGAAAGCCCCGGGCUCAACCUGGGAAUUGCGAUGGAGACUGCAAGGCUUGAAUCUGGCAGAGGGGGUAGAAUUCACGUGUAGCAGUGAAAUGCGUAGAGAUGUGGAGGAAUACCGAUGGCGAAGGCAGCCCCCUGGGAUAACGACUGACGCUCAUGCACGGAAAGCGUGGGGAGCAAACAGG